AACGCAUCUUGCGCUCCUUGGUAUUCCAGGGAGCAUACCUGUUUGAGUGUUAUGAAUAUCUCAACUUGUAAAUCUUUGAGGUUUAUAAAGCUUGGAAUUGGAGUAUGCUAUAUUCUUUAUUGAUUAUAUAGCUACUCUUGAAUAUAUUAGCAAUUCUAUGUAGAGCUUUGGAAUAAGCGCACUUGGCUUGAUAAUUAUCUGUCAAUUGACUUGCUUCACUCUAUGUAUGAUUUGCUUUCUAAUUCGUUGCAAAACAUCAUAUUUCGACCUCAAAUCAGGUAGGACUACCCGCUGAACUUAA
rnacentral:misc_RNA from 1 species